rnacentral:rRNA from 1 species
GCGAUUACGUUAACUCAUAACGGUUAUAUUAAGAGGUUACCAGCUUCUACGUACAAAACACAGAACCGUGGGGGACGUGGUGUGCAAGGAAUGGGUACGAAUGAUGAUGACUUUGUUGAACAUUUAUUAACAACGUCUACUCAUGAUCAUAUUUUAUUCUUUACAAACAAGGGUAAAGUAUACCGUACGAAAGGAUAUGAAAUUCCAGAGUAUAGUCGUACUGCAAAAGGACUACCAAUUAUUAACCUAUUAGGGGUAGAUAAGGGUGAGUGGAUUAACGCUAUUAUUCCGAUUCGUGAAUUUGGUGACGAUCAGUUCUUAUUCUUUACGACAAAACAAGGGGUUUCUAAGAGAACGCCACUUUCAUCAUUUGCAAAUAUACGUACAAAUGGUUUAAUUGCAAUUUCUCUUCGUGAAGAGGAUGAAGUAAUAUCUGUACGUUUAACAUCGGGUGAUAAGGAUAUUAUUGUCGGGACAAGUAACGGUAUGCUAAUUCGUUUCAAUGAACAAGAUGUUCGUUCUAUGGGACGUAAUGCUGCAGGUGUUAAAGCUAUUACGUUGGGCGAUGAAGACCAAGUUGUAGGUAUGGAAAUUGUCGAAGAGGAUGUAAAUGUUCUAAUUGUAACGAAAAAUGGUUACGGAAAGCGUACACCGAUUGAUGAAUACCGUCUGCAAAGUCGCGGUGGUAAAGGUCUGAAAACUUGUAACAUUACAGAUAAGAACGGUAAAUUAGUAGCUGUUAAGUCUGUUACAGGUGAAGAAGAUAUUAUGUUAAUUACAGCGGCAGGCGUUAUUAUUCGUAUGCCAGUUGAUCAAAUCUCUCAAAUGGGACGUAAUACACAAGGUGUUCGUCUAAUUCGAUUAGAGGAAGACCAAGAGGUAGCGACGGUAGCAAAAGCACAAAAAGAUGAAGAGGAAGAAACGAGUGAAGAGGUUUCUUCAGAAGAAUAAGAGAGGGGAUUUUCCCUCUCUUUAUUUUUUUAUAAUAAUACUUGCAUAGGGAAGAGAAAGCCUAUAUAAUAGGCAGAGUCAGCAAAUGAGAGAUACAACUUAUCAAAAAAACUUGUUGACCAAAAUAAUAUAGUAUGAUAUAUUAUAAAAGUCGCUGAAACGCGAUGUUGAACUUUGAAAACUAAACGAAACAAACAACGUGAAACGUCAAUUUUUAUUUUAGAUGCUAGACAAACUAACUUUAUUGGAGAGUUUGAUCCUG